GACGAACGCUGGCGGCGUGCUUAACACAUGCAAGUCGAACGGAAAGGCCCCUUUGGGGGUACUCGAGUGGCGAACGAGUGAGUAACACGUGAGUAACCUGCCCUUGACUUCGGGAUAACUUCAGGAAACUGGGGCUAAUACCGGAUAGGAAUCCUUGCUGCAUGGUGGGGGUUGGAAAGCUUCGGCGGGUUUGGAUGGACUCGCGGCUUAUCGGCUUGUUGGGGGGGCAGCGGCUUACCAAGGCGCUGACGGGUAGCCGGCCUGGGGGGGCGACCGGCCACAGUGGGGCUGAGGGGCGGCCCAGGCUGCGACGGGGGGGAGCAGGGGGGAAGGUUGGGGGAGGGGCGGGGGGCGGGUGCAGCAGGGCCGCGGGCGGGAGGACGGGGUUCGGGUUGGAGACCGCUUUCGGCAGGGGCGAAGCUUGUGGUGACGGUACCUGCAGAGGAAGCACCGGCUAACUACGUG
rnacentral:rRNA from 1 species